rnacentral:tRNA from 3 species
GCCGAUAUAGUUCAGUUGGUAGAGCAGCGCAUUCGUAAUGCGAAGGUCGUAGGUUCGACUCCUAUUAUCGGCACCA